CUUCUCUUUUUUUAGGAUCCUCCUUAAAAGCCACAUAUUUGCCUAAGCUUUUAGUUACACUUGCUAAUAUUGCCUUUGACUUAGGAUCCACUUCUGUCCGAUCAAGCCUCUAUAAGCAUCUUGUACUUGGAAUUCAGCCAGAUCCAGUCUACCAACCUUCAGAGCAACAUGGCUAGCUGCGGGGAUCUUUUGUGGUCUCUUUUCUGGCUUAUUGUGCUGUUCUUUUUCGGCUGGCCACUCAGCAUAUUCUUUGGGGGCAUCUAUGGGUUUUUGUCACCACUGACUACGUGUGUUGGACUGGACCAGGUCACGGAUAUACUUCUACAAGGUGCAAACCUGGGCAGAAGCUGUGCUGAGAACAUGAGAUCAAGCAAGGCUCUCUGCUAAAAAAAUUACAUCUUCUGCUGUUUCAGCGAAAAAGGAAUUUCGCCUCAACUGUGAGCCAUCCACAUCAGCACCCAGGUUACUGCGGAUCAGCCAAUUUAAAAUGCAGUCACAGAACUCUUCUUUAUGCUUCUGACCUCAACACGGUGUUGCAAAUGUAUCUUUUUUUUCUUUUAUGGCUUCUUUUAAGCAGAAUAAUACAUUUUAAAUUAUUUGUAAUUGAUAUUGCAAUAAAUGGCCAUCCUCUCAAAUGUACCAAA